rnacentral:rRNA from 1 species
UACGUAGGGUGCAAGCGUUUGUCCGGAAUUAUUGGGCGUAAAGAGCUCGUAGGCGGUUUGUCGCGUCUGCUGUGAAAAUCCAGGGCUUAACCCUGGACCUGCAGUGGGUACGGGCAGACUAGAGUGCGGUAGGGGAGAUCGGAAUUCCUGGUGUAGCGGUGAAAUGCGCAGAUAUCAGGAGGAACACCGGUGGCGAAGGCGGAUCUCUGGGCCGUAACUGACGCUGAGGAGCGAAAGCAUGGGGAGCGAACAGG